GUGCUCUGUAGGAGAAGGAGGAUCGGGCUGCUUUCUUUUUGUAUUGAGGUAGACUAAAUAAAGUGUUGGUACUGGAUCGGAGGUUAUAGGAAGUGGGAACAGCUGAGGAAAGCAUUGUGUUCAGGUAGGGUGGGAGUUUCCCAGAAAAGCUCUUAAACACAAGGCUGGAAAGAUGAAGGGUGCGUCUGGAUUCCAGCGACAGCCAGUUUAGUUAUUUUAGC